rnacentral:misc_RNA from 1 species
GAUGAAGAACGUAGCGAAAUGCGAUAAGUAAUGUGAAUUGCAGAAUUCAGUGAAUCAUCGAAUCUUUGAACGCAUCUUGCGCUUCUUGGUAUUCUGAGGAGCAUGCCUGUUUGAGUGUCAUUAAAUUCUCAACCGCACUGACUUUGAAUUGGUGUGGCUUGGAUUUGGGGGGAAAAUUGUUGUGGGCUUUUUUGUAUAGUCUGCUCCCCUGAAAUUGAUUAGCGGUACCUUUGUGGAACUGUCUACAGGUGUGAUAAUUAUCUACAUCUUAAACAUCUGCUGGAAUGCUGCUUUCUAAACCUUACUUGUAUUGACAAUCUUGACCUCAAAUCAGGUAGGACUACCCGCUGAACUUAAGCAUAUCAAUAAGCGGAGGA